AAGUCGUAACAAGGUUUCCGUAGGUGAACCUGCGGAAGGAUCAUUAACACGUAUCCAAACGUAAAAAACCCCCCCCGUGAACAUUCAAUCCUGCUCUUGUAACCCGCGUAGUUCGCAAUCUCUGGUAAAUCAUAGCCCGGAAAGUAGUUUUGAUUCAGAGACCUCUGGCUACGUGAGAACAUUGGAACAGUUACAAUCGAGCGGUAGUUUCAUAGGCAUUGUUUCCCCAAGCAGUCUUCUGUAGACCGUACACUCGGGCAGGAGCUAUGCCAAAGGGUCCCCAUGCCCCCUUAUAACCCCACAGUUUAAUGUGAAGCUCAAUGUAAUACAUUGGGUAAAAAAACAGAACAACUGUUAACAAUGGAUAUCUUGGUUCUC
rnacentral:misc_RNA from 1 species